GCUUUGCUUUUUGAAAGGUCAGCGGCGGACGGGUGAGUAACACGUGGGCAACCUGCCUGUAAACUGGGAUAACUUCGGGAAACCGGAGCUAAUACCGGAUAAUAUAAGGAACCUCCUGGUUCUUUAUUGAAAGAUGGUUUCGGCUAUCACUUACAGAUGGGCCCGCGGCGCAUUAGCUAGUUGGUGAGGUAACGGCUCACCAAGGCGACGAUGCGUAGCCGACCUGAGAGGGUGAUCGGCCACACUGGGACUGAGACACGGCCCAGACUCCUACGGGAGGCAGCAGUAGGGAAUCUUCCACAAUGGACGAAAGUCUGAUGGAGCAACGCCGCGUGAGCGAUGAAGGCCUUCGGGUCGUAAAGCUCUGUUGUUAGGGAAGAACAAGUGCGAGAGUAACUGCUCGCACCUUGACGGUACCUAACCAGAAAGCCACGGCUAACUACGUGCCAGCAGCCGCGGUAAUACGUAUGUGGCAAGCGUUGUCCGGAAUUAUUGGGCGUAAAGCGCGCGCAGGUGGUCCUUUAAGUCUGAUGUGAAAGCCCACGGCUCAACCGUGGAGGGUCAUUGGAAA
rnacentral:rRNA from 1 species